CUAAACCUUCUGGCUUUUCUUUUUUCUUUUGGUUUUUAAAAAAAAUGUUGGUUUUUUAAAAUGUUUUUCUCCUCCUGUUAUAAUUCUCUUGCAGUAGUGAUUUUUUCUUCUUCUUUUUUUUUUUGGUCUUUGCCGAAAAAGAGCAGAACUACUGGUACAUUGAAAAAUAUUCUUGAGUAUUCUUUGAGGUGUGAGGUCACUUUCCACUUGAGUAUUCUUUGAGGUGUGAGGUCACUUUCCACUUGAGUAUUCUUUGAGGUGUGAGGUCACUUUCCACUUGAGUAUUCUUUGAGGUGUGAGGUCACUUUCCACUUGAGUAUUCUUUGAGGUGUGAGGUCACUUUCCACUUGAGUAUUCUUUGAGGUGUGAGGUCACUUUCCACUUGAGUAUUCUUUGAGGUGUGAGGUCACUUUCCACUUGAGUAUUCUUUGAGGUGUGAGGUCACUUCCACAUUUUGUUAGGAGGUGGAAUUUGCCAUUUGUUUUGUUCAAGUCAGUGUAGACAAUCAUAGAAAUCCUCUUGUGACCUUUGUACCUAACCUAAGGGGGGUAGUACAGUUGUUUGACUGUUUCCAUAUGUCUGUAUGGUUGUAUUGUUUUUGCUAAUCAAAUUUUUUUUAAAUAUUUGUUUGUUUGUAUUGUUGGCCUGCAUUAUAUUCAUAUACCUUAGCUCAAUGACAAAUUAUCUAAUUUCUGAGAUAGCUCGUCUCACGUCUGCGAAAUUUUCCUGGAGCAUAACUUGCAACAUCAUGUCUUAAGAUUGUGUUUUUCCCAUCACAGUUAAUAAUUAACAGAUGGGUAGGUAUUCUGAAAUCUCUAGUUCAUUACCUUAUCAUCUCACUGAUUUUGACUUUUCAGCGUGAACUUCCAAAUUGCUCCAUGGUUAUCAUGCAGGAAAAGUCGUCUCUGCCUGUACAAAGCAAAAGAUUUAUGUUGAGUGCACAUGUGCAGUAAAACUUUGUGGGAACGGAUUGAGACCAGAACAUUCAAAUCAUUUCGGUGACUUGAGUUUCCUCCUAACAGAUGUUUCCUGAACUUGCCCAGUGCCUCCACACACACGUGUCAGGACUCAGUGCUGUCGUACUCUGACAAAACUCCUUUUUCUUAUUCACUGCAGUUUUGAGAAAUCAAUGAUUUUCAGUUUUCUUAUAAUAAUAGGCCUUUUGCCAUCUCUUGAGCACAGGGAAUGACAUUUCUUUUCAGGGUUCGAGAUCAACCGUUGAUGUACUGGGCCGGAGCCGUACUGGGCAAACUAGUUUCAAUGUUAUCAGAAAAACGAAAAAAGCUGAUUUCUCGAAAGUGCUGUGAAUAAGAAAAAGGCGUUUUGUCAGAGUACGGCAGAGUGGAAUCAGAGGCUUGUCAAUUUUGUCGACAUAUAUGGAGUCAAUGGUAGCGUCUUAAAGCUUGUUCAUUUGUCUUAAUUUUGAUGGGGAAAAAAAGCCUCCUACCUAUCUAUCUUGACUAGAAGUUAAACUAUUUGCUGUUUGAAUGAGGUAAGGUGGGUGGCUUAGUGUCGGAGGUAAAAAUACAGAAAAAUUGGACGCUAGUUGGAAGCCAAAGUUUGGUGAAUUCCAAAGCUUGAGUGUCCUUGGAAAGUUGCAAAUGUACUUUUUAUUUUAUUGUGCCUUUCAUCCAUGUUUUUCAGUAAUAUCCACUCAAAUCUGUAUUUUGGUGUUUUUUUUUCAAUGAAUUGAAAUGGUGGUGAUCCCCAUCCCUCAAAACUGGAUAGACACUACCCAAUGGACGUAAAAAUGUCGGUAACUUUGAUUUCAUUAUUUGGACGAGUGCCUGAUUUCACCACCAUGUCAUGCAUUUUUUCUAUUCAUUUUGCCAAGACGGUUGGGAAACGAUUGUGUUUUCUUACUCUGACUAUA